ACAUCAUCUCAUAUAAUAUCUAGAUUUCUAUAGAACAGAUAAAAUAUUCACUUUUUUUUCAAUUACAAAAUAUUACAGGUGUCUGGGUGCAUCAUCAAAUGUCCACACAGUCCGCCCGGACCACCCCUUCUCCACCCCCAGUGCUGUUGGGGGGCAUUCAGUAAUUAGCUUUUA